UACAGAGGUGGCAAGCGUUGUCCGGAAUCAUUGGGCGUAAAGAGCGUGUAGGCGGCCAAUUAAGUCCUGCGUGAAAUCUCGGGGCUCAACCCCGAGCGGUCGUGGGAAACUGGUUGGCUAGAGUGCGGGAGAGGAGAGUGGAAUUCCAGGUGUAGCGGUGAAAUGCGUAGAUAUCUGGAGGAAUACCGGUGGCGAAGGCGGCAUCCUGGACCGACAUUGACGCUGAGGAGCGAAAGCUAGGGGAGCAAACAGG
rnacentral:rRNA from 1 species